rnacentral:rRNA from 1 species
UAGGGAAUCUUCGGCAAUGGGGGCAACCCUGACCGAGCAACGCCGCGUGAGUGAAGAAGGUUUUCGGAUCGUAAAGCUCUGUUGUAAGUCAAGAACGGGUGUGAGAGUGGAAAGUUCACACUGUGACGGUAGCUUACCAGAAAGGGACGGCUAACUACGUGCCAGCAGCCGCGGUAAUACGUAGGUCCCGAGCGUUGUCCGGAUUUAUUGGGCGUAAAGCGAGCGCAGGCGGUUUGAUAAGUCUGAAGUUAAAGGCUGUGGCUCAACCAUAGUUCGCUUUGGAAACUGUCAAACUUGAGUGCAGAGGGGGAGAGUGGAAUUCCAUGUGUAGCGGUGAAAUGCGUAGAUAUAUGGAGGAACACCGGUGGCGAAAGCGGCUCUCUGGUCUGUAACUGACGCUGAGGCUCGAAAGCGUGGGGAGCGAACAGGAUUAGAUACCCUGGUAGUCCACGCCGUAAACGAUGAGUGCUAGGUGUUGGAUCCUUUCCGGGAUUCAGUGCCGCAGCUAACGCAUUAAGCACUCCGCCUGGGGGAGUACGACCGCAAGGUUGAAAC